GAGCUUGCUCUUCUUGGAUGAGUUGCGAACGGGUGAGUAACGCGUAGGUAACCUGCCUUGUAGCGGGGGAUAACUAUUGGAAACGAUAGCUAAUACCGCAUAACAAUGGAUGACACAUGUCAUUUAUUUGAAAGGGGCAAUUGCUCCACUACAAGAUGGACCUGCGUUGUAUUAGCUAGUAGGUGAGGUAGCGGCUCACCUAGGCGACGAUACAUAGCCGACCUGAGAGGGUGAUCGGCCACACUGGGACUGAGACACGGCCCAGACUCCUACGGGAGGCAGCAGUAGGGAAUCUUCGGCAAUGGGGGCAACCCUGACCGAGCAACGCCGCGUGAGUGAAGAAGGUUUUCGGAUCGUAAAGCUCUGUUGUAAGUCAAGAACGAGUGUGAGAGUGGAAAGUUCACACUGUGACGGUAGCUUACCAGAAAGGGACGGCUAACUACGUGCCAGCAGCCGCGGUAAUACGUAGGUCCCGAGCGUUGUCCGGAUUUAUUGGGCGUAAAGCGAGCGCAGGCGGUUUGAUAAGUCUGAAGUUAAAGGCUGUGGCUCAACCACAGUUCGCUUUGGAAACUGUCAAACUUGAGUGCAGAAGGGGAGAGUGGAAUUCCAUGUGUAGCGGUGAAAUGCGUAGAUAUAUGGAGGAACACCGGUGGCGAAAGCGGCUCUCUGGUCUGUA
rnacentral:rRNA from 1 species